CCGAGAUACAAAUAGAAUAGAAAAGCUACUUUGUUAUUGUCUCUAUUUGAUUAAGGUUUAUUAAAACUGUUUAGUGAUUAACGAGCAAAACAAACAAUUCUAAUAGACUAGAGUUUAGUUUUGCACAUUAUUAAAACUGCUUUAUGGACAAACUCCCUUUCACUAGUUCCUUGAAGGUGACUUGUAAAAAGCCCAUGGUUCAGCAGAAGUAUACUCUGUCACCUGCUUAAUGUUCAAGAAACUUUCAAGACCCCUGCAUCAAUGCACAAACGAUUAUCACUUAUCAGUCCGAUCAGAUCAGAUCAGAGGUAUCAAGUUUGUGCAUUGAAAAAUGAUACAUAGCUACUUAUCUGGCUGCUCUUAUUAGGGGCAUUGGAAUAUACGUGGUGGAAUGUUAUAGGUGUCUGUAAGUUGGCUCGGAUACCAUCUUUAUCAAGAUAUUAAGGCGCAAGGCGCUAAGGAGUUAUUUUCCUUGAUACCCAAGAUGUCUGUUUGUGCUGAGUAGGGAGUGUUUUCCACCAUUUGGUAUAGGUAGAUUCAGGGAAGAAAACAUCAUCGCCAAGAAGGCUACUCUGGAUCCAGCCAUUUGCAGCUGUUUCUAAACUCAGAAUCUUGUCUUGCACUUGUGCAAAUGGCUUGUUUCUUAGUUCCUCCACUUCUGCCCAGAAACAAGACUCGGAACGUGCACCAGCAUGCACUUUAUCAAAAUGCUCUAACCAUCUCUGUGUGAACCGAUAACGCUUAGGCCUACCCCUGAUCAAGUAAGGUCCACUAUCUUCAUUCUUCAAGUGCCUGUAAUAGUUUGCAAUAUCUAAGGGCUCAACUUGCCUGCGAAACUGUGUCCCUAGUUCUAUCCAGUCUUUUUGUCCCUCGAAGCUAUCUGGGAGCUCAUACCUUUUCAACAUUUCAAUGAUCUCAUUCCAUAUACCUGCUAGCUCAUGCCUUUUCACAUUAGCAUUGAAGUCAUCAUCAGUGUUUUGAAUCUUGAAUGCAUCAUAAUACCCAACUUUAUGGAUAUCACACUUGGUCUGGUACUCCUGUAUCUUGCUUAAUGCGUCCCUGAUGCUUCUCUUAUUUUGUUCAAUCUUUUCCUCGUUCUUCUUCUUCUGCUUCUCCCACUCUCCUGCUGCACGAAGACACAGCCUUGCUCUUGUGCUCUGAGAUUUAGAUAACGUGAAAACGCCUAUUAGCUUGAGCAAGAUAGACAAUUCUGUUGAAAAUGAAAAUUAACCAUAUCUAUUGCUUACCAGGCCAAGGUCAUUCAGUGCUGAAUUCAUACUUGCAACUUCAUCGCUUGGAUCAACAUUUGAAGAUAAAGGAAUAUCAGUAAGAUUGUUGAGAUGAAUGACAUCUUGCAUCUCUAAGCUAUCUUGCAUUUCGUUUGUAUACAACAGGUGAUCGUUUAAACUUCUAGCAACGACUACUACAGCUUCUGCUUCGGAACUCAAUUGAGAGGAAUAGAACAGUAACUGCAGAACAGCAUCAGGGUUCUCAACGACAACCAGUUUCCUAUUCCCAGUGCAGAAGAUGUAAGUUCCAAAGGGUAUAUAAGGGCUGAGUUGAACAAUGUUGGAAACAGUUUCCAAGAGCAAGUUUGUGCAUCCCUUCAGAUUACAUGCAGCAUAGCUUGCAACAGAGGAUGCAUUCCUCAUUACAGUCAUAAAGAAAUUCAAUGCAUUACUUGAUCGUGCAACAGCAUCGCGCUGAGAAUACUGGGACUUCGGAUUGAUGAAGGGAGAGAUUGCUUGAAGCAAUUCUUGAAUUGAUGAAAGAGGAGCAAGCAUCAUCCUGGGGACAAUGUCGUACUUCAUGACAAAAUGUAUGAAGUAACGAGCCCAGUUUUCGCGCCUGAGGGCAUGAGACCAUAUCUUGUUGCCAACAAGAGGGGAUCCAAAAGUCAUACAGUAUAGAUGGACUAACAUGUCACCUUCUGGUCUUGUGCGGCAACAUUCCAGACACCAGAGAGCUGCCAGAAUAGCUAUAGCACCACCGGACGAGUGCCCUGCAAACACUACUUGUCUUCCUUUUGACAUUGCCUUCUCCACCUAAAACCAACACAACUCCAUGAAUCAACAUUCACUUUCCAAAUCAAAGAUGAAGGUAUGAAGCUUAAUUUCCAUUAACCUAGUCUACACUCUACAGAGGCAUUAUCAUGAUAGAAUCUAUGAUAGGAAUCAGUACUCUAUUUAGACUUGGAACAUAUUGCUGACAUGAUAACUAAUACUCCCUUCUUUGCAAUUUAAGUGUCUUACUAUCUUUUUUGGUCUGUUCCAAAAAAGAGUCUCUUUUUAUAUCUUGUAAGUUUUCCAAUCCCAACACUCUACAAGGAGUUAAAGACCAAAAGAUUUAUAGGACUACACACAUAUUUAAAAGUCUCCCUUUAUUUCUUAAACCCCGUGUCUAGUCAAACUAUGACACUAAAAUUGGGACGGAGGGAAUAAAUAAACCACUAGACGGAAUCAAGUUGAUCAAACUGAACUAUCAGGAAUAGAACUUCCAAUGCUCUUGAAAAAAAAUUGAAUCAAAAAGAAAAAAUUCUUUGUCUAAAGACUUGCACAGAAUUUGAUUCUUCAACUGGUGUACACUCAAGUUGUAAAAAACAUUUAUCUAUAGGUUAUACUAAUAUUAAACACUACAGUUUUUUCGUGUCAAGUCAAAAUCAAGACAAACAAAUUGAAACGAAAGGAGUUUUAAGAAAGAACAAGAUGAUUGAACCCCAGUAUGUAUACCUCAUUUUUAAGUGAAGAUUUGUCCAGUAUGUCUUGAAAUCUUCUAGCAAAUGCUUCAUUGACCUUAGCUACCUCAUCAGUGCCAACACUUCUCAAAGAUGGAAACAGAGUGGUGUUAAUCUCUGUCUCUCCAAAAGAAGUGUUACUGUACCAACCAUCAAAAGACAAAGUUCCAGCAAAAGCAAUAACAACAUCAGUAGACCCAUUUAUUUUCUUGUAAAUAUAAGGUUUCUCAGGUGAUAAAUUGUGAGCUUCCAUGGCUAAGUUACAAGCUUUCUUGAUUAGCUCUUCUCUGACUUCAAUUCCUUCUCCAAUUUUUCACCAUUUUUUGCUUCUUAGCUGCUUAAAGAUUGCAACUUUACUGUUAGUUUCAAAACCUUGAAGAAAGAUUGAGGAUGGAGAGAUGGAAUGAAGGUAAGGGGAAAUGGGUAUUUAAGCUUUUGGUGAUUGGAUGAAAUGUAGAGGAAAUGAGUCAUUGACUUUUGGAGUCUUUGUAUAGCUUUGCUUGACUCUUGCCUGUGGAAAUUGUAUAGGAAGAUAAAUGGGAGUAUGUAUCAAGGAAAUUUCCUACUAAUUGUUCUGCAAAAUGGUUAUUGUACGGACUCAUAUUAAUUUUAUAGAAAUGAUUAUUUUUGAAGGAUUUGAUAUGCAUUCGCUUUUCAUUCGUCGUAAAUUCCCUUUUACGUCUUUCAUAAGAGCAAGAGGGGUGGGUACUCUACUAACACUUCACUUUUCAUAUAUUUGUCGACAUUUUUGAAAAGUUAUUUAAAAUGAAAUAGUAUAUUUUACUUUUAUUUUUGUUCUAGUUUGUUUCAAAAAAAUAUAUCAUAUUUCUAUUUUACUUUUAAUAAUAGUACUUUAAUAUAAGAUAAUAUGAUAUGUUUAAGAAUAUAGGUAUUUUUAUUUUGUUACACACGUAUUUAAUUUAAGAUAACAAAAUUAGAAGAAUUUUUUUCUUUAUAUUCUAAUUUUUAUGCACAUUACACAUCAAAUGCGACCGACACAUGGAAAGUGAAAAGGGGGGAGUAUAUUGGUGCUAUUAUAUUCUUUCUCUUGAUUAUUUUGAAAAGUGGGUACCCACUGAAGGACAACUUGGUGGUUGGUACUUUCUUUGUUUUUUCUUUAAUUUUUUUAUAAGAAAUAAAGGCUGGGAAGUUAGAAAAGGCAACUCGUUUUGAAGAAAAAUAAAAUUUUGGGUAUGACAAAUAAAAUAUUUCGUGUUCACACUGGAUCCAAAGAAGGGCCUAACCCGAGAUACAAAUAGAAUAGAAAAGCUACUUUGAUAUUGUCUCUAUUCGAUUAAGGUUUAUUAAAAUUGUUUAUUGAUUAACGAGCAAAACAAACAAUUCUAAUAGACUAGAGUUUAGUUUGCACAUUAUUAAAAUUGCUUUAUGGACAAACUCCCUUUCACUAGUUCCUUGAAGGUGACUUGUAAAAAGCCCAUGGUUCAGCAGAAGUAUACUCUGUCACCUGCUUAAUGUUCAAGAAACUUUCAAGACCCCUGCAUCAAUGCACAAACGAUUAUCACUUAUCAGUCCGAUCAGAUCAGAUCAGAUCAGAGGUCUCAAGUUCGUGCAUUGAAAAUGAAAC
rnacentral:lncRNA from 1 species